GUGGGGAAUAUUGGGCAAUGGGCGAAAGCCUGACCCAGCAACGCCGCGUGAAGGAAGAAGGUUUUCGGAUCGUAAACUUCUAUCCUUGGUGAAGAUAAUGACGGUAGCCAAGAAGGAAGCCCCGGCUAACUACGUGCCAGCAGCCGCGGUAAUACGUAGGGGGUAAGCGUUGUCCGGAAUGAUUGGGCGUAAAGGGCGCGUAGGCGGCCCGGUAAGUCUGAAGUGAAAGUCCUGCUUUUAAGGUGGGAAUUGCUUUGGAUACUGUCGGGCUUGAGUGCAGGGGUGGUAAGAGGAAUUCCCGGUGUAGCGGUGAAAUGCGUAGAGAUCGGGAGGAACACCAGUGGCGAAGGCGGCCUGCUAGACAUUAACUGACGCUGAGGAGCGAAAGCGUGGGGAGCAAACAGGAUUAGAAACCCUGGUAGUCC
rnacentral:rRNA from 1 species